rnacentral:rRNA from 1 species
UACGGAGGAUGCAAGCGUUAUCCGGAAUGAUUGGGCGUAAAGCGUCCGCAGGUGGCUGUGUAAGUCUGCUGUCAAAGAGCGAAGCUCAACUUCGUAAAGGCAGUGGAAACUACACGGCUAGAGUGCGUUCGGGGCAGAGGGAAUUCCUGGUGUAGCGGUGGAAUGCGUAGAGAUCCGGAGGAAGACCGGUGGCGAAGGCGGUCUGCUGGGCAGUUUCUGACACUGAGGCGCGACAGCGUGGGGAGCAAACAGG